rnacentral:rRNA from 1 species
UUGGAGUCUGCAACCCGACUCCAUGAAGCUGGAUUCGCUAGUAAUCGCGCAUCAGCCACGGCGCGGUGAAUACGUUCCCGGGCCUUGUACACACCGCCCGUCAAGCCAUGGAAGCCGGGAGUGCCUGAAGUGCGUGAGCGCAAGCAGCGCCCUAAGGUAAAACCGGUGACUGGGGCUAAGUCGUAACAAGGUAUC